UCACCUGUGGUUUUUCUUUAUGAAAAUUCCAAGGAGCUAACUUGCAGUAUUGAGAAUCCCCAGGUCCUUCUUUUGAAAAUUCUUUGUCUUUUAUAUUGCCUCUUAAGGAAAGAGGAAACCACACUGGAAAGCAAGAAAUUGACCAACAUUGCAGAAGUAAUUAGGAAAUAUAUAGAUUAUAAAGCAUUUUAUUUCAUUUUGGUUUUGCACUUCAGCAAGUGAAACAAUAGUAACAGCUCCUGCAGUUUUGUGGAUGAAAACUUCCAUGCAGAUACAUGCAGUAAUGAGGAUGCAUUAUGCAACUAAUUGCAAUGAAGAACAAAUUCACAUUAAUGGUGCCUGAGGAGAAAGAGAAUCUCUACACUCAGUUUCUUUCAUAAAAUAGGUACAAUGCUGCUGUUUGCAGAGGAGGGACACCAGCUGCAACAAGAGCAGUGUCUGUUCUAGAGUGAGGGAUGAGCUCCACUGGACAUGAGUUGGCUUCCCUGGCUGCAGUGCUCAGUGUUUCAUUUUAGCAAGUCUGAGAUUGCUCCAAGUCUUCAUCUCCUCCUGCACUUUAUACUAAUGCAAGUACCAGAGAAAAAAUUAUGCUCUCUUCUGAAGGGAAUGAAUGAUAAAGUAUCUAAGAUCAUACAUAUAAGUCUCCACAGUGUGGAAACUCCAGGCAGUCAUGAACAAAACCUGCUUCAGCUCUAUGCCUGAAUCUUCGUGGGAGGAGGAGACUUGCAGUGUUGUGGGUUAGAAGCCAGUGUGAGCCUGGCUCAGAAAUCCUCCUGCAGAGGCAGGGCGCUCACCGGAAGCAAUUGAGGAUGGCAGUGGUAUCCUGCAGGAUGUGUGCGACUGCUCAGCGGGGGCUUGAUUUACACAGGGCCACAUUAUAGACUAUACAUUCUGGUAAUUGUGGUAUUGUUAUUGCUGGGCUGCAUCUCAGCACAGGAAGCACAUAUAGGCACAUCUGAAGUGAUAACAUCCACUCCUGUUUAAAAAGCAAUAUUUUAUUCCUGUACAUAAUGCAGCAUUUGCAAGGGAAAAUGGAUUAUUUACUGACUAGUACUUAGCAUUAUUUUAGGGGAAAAGCCGAUUCAUUAUGGGAAGGCCACAAGCAGCAUUUACAAAUAAAUCCACUUAAACUUUUAAUCACUUUUUUUUUUUUUUUCUGUAUGGACUGUAAUCCAAGAUCAGGAAGGAGACAAUGCAUUGCCAUCUGAAACACAACAAAGAUCAAAAUAUGUUUUCAGUGUGCCACCAAAACCAGAGUGCUAGGUUUCUGUUAAGGAGAAUGAGUAAGAGCAUUCUAGCUGCAAAGGUUGCU